ensembl:lncRNA
CAGAGAGAGUGUGCGCAGGCGCUCUGCCUAUGCUAAGCUGCAGGUCGCAGUACACGCCUGGUUUCUGUAAGGAGGGUUCAGUCUUUCGCGCUGCGGAGGGAGGGGGAGAGGGUUCAAGAUGGAGUCCGAUGCACAUGAUGGAGGAGCCACCAGGGCAGCCAAAGAAGAAGCCAAAGAAGCCAAAGAAGACCCAGGUGCCGUGGAAUUUGCAGCGGGCACAGCACAUGGUAGCCACAGAGUGCCAGGUGGUGCUGGUGGCCAGGAUGACCCUGGUGACGCAGCUUGCCCUGGUGACGUCGUCGGUCACGGGGUUCAUGGAGGCGCUGGUGACCUGGCUGGUCCCAGAGGCCCCAGCGCUGCAGGAGAGCCAGGUGGCGCAGCUGGUGCCAUUCUGCAGAUCUCGGGGCCACCUCACGCUCCAGGGCCUAGUGGAAAUGCUGCACCUGGAGCCGCAGUUCUGAGUAACCGAGACCUCCGGUUCAGCCUCACUGUGGCUUUCUCAUCACACGCGGAAGCUGACAUCGCCCGCCACUUCCUGACUCCACGGACUCAACUGCGAGGGCCGAUUCGGAAGGAGCUCGAUGUUAAUGGCCGCAUGCUGGUUCUCCGAUUGACUGCUGAAGACCCUGGCCUGCUCCAGAGCUCCAUCGUUUUCUGUCUGGAGCAGCUUUCCCUGGUGAUGCGGUCCUUGCAGCACUUUGGGGCUCCUCUUUCUCAGCACAGAAGAGGGGUUUAAACCUAGCCUAUGUGCCCUAGGUUCAGGUGUCCUUCCCCAGGGGAUUGCUUUCUGCAGUGCUUUGAUUGGGCUUCAUCUUAUGUCUGUGCUGAUUUUGGCGGCUCAGUGUCUACAUAGUUUGUUUGGUGAUUGUUAACUGC